UACGUAGGGGACCAGCGUUGUCCGGAUUUACUGGGCGUAAAGAGCGCGCAGGCGGUCGUUCAAGUCGAGUGUGAAAGCCCCCGGCUCAACUGGGGAGGGUCAUUCGAUACUGAUCGACUGGAAGGCAGGAGAGGGAAGUGGAAUUCCCGGUGUAGUGGUGAAAUGCGUAGAUAUCGGGAGGAACACCAGUGGCGAAGGCGACUUCCUGGCCUGUUCUUGACGCUGAGGCGCGAAAGCUAGGGUAGCAAACGGG
rnacentral:rRNA from 1 species